rnacentral:lncRNA from 1 species
AUUUUUUUGUCAGAUCCUCUUUUUAUUGAAAUAUUUCCUGUUUCUUAGCCAACUAGGCACACCACAACACCAUUGUUGAUGUCAUCAAUGAUGUCAUGAGGGUGCAGGUUGUCCACAUUGCAGCUCACAGGCUGGGAGGUCCCCAGAAUUUCUUCAACGUUCUGGAAAGUUCUCUGGCUAAAGACCAGUGUCACAUCUGUCAGGCAAUGCUGACAAUCUCAUCAAAAGUGAUAUUUCCACUGUGUUGAAUGUUUUUCUGCUUCUUCCCAUCUCUUGGUGGCUCCCUGAGGGCUUUGAUGAUCAGAGCAGAGGCAGAAGGCACCACCUCGAUCUGAGCCUGUCUGUCCUGAAUGGUCAGUGUCACAGUAAUCCUCAGACCUUCCAGUCCCCAGUUGCCUUGGUGAUGUCAUCACCCACUUUUGGAGACAGACCCCAAGGACCGAUCUUGGGGGUCAGGGCAGACGUGGCCAUCAGUGCACUUCAGAAACCAUCUGUGUGGUGGAGACAAUGCUUAAUCAUGAGUAAGGAGAAAUCUCUACAGAUGUUUCAUUGCCAAAAAUAUCUUGAUUACUUUGACAUGGAACUGGCCUCCAUCUCAGUAAUUUCAGGCUGACUGCGUGGGUUGUGCUGCCAUACUUUGAGCCACACCUAUCCCCCGGGACUAAGAGAAGAAAAUCUGCUAUUUUGAGUUGCGC